AUUUUUCUAAUACAACAAAAAGUAUAUGUGGCUUCCAACCAUACAAUCUUGGUUAAAAUCCAAGGAAAAAUA
rnacentral:tRNA from 1 species